GAGGUGCCGUGCUAUAAUGCAGUCGAGCGAAUCGACGGGAGCUUGCUCCCUGAGAUUAGCGGCGGACGGGUGAGUAACACGUGGGCAACCUGCCUAUAAGACUGGGAUAACUUCGGGAAACCGGAGCUAAUACCGGAUACGUUCUUUUCUCGCAUGAGAGAAGAUGGAAAGACGGUUUACGCUGUCACUUAUAGAUGGGCCCGCGGCGCAUUAGCUAGUUGGUGAGGUAAUGGCUCACCAAGGCGACGAUGCGUAGCCGACCUGAGAGGGUGAUCGGCCACACUGGGACUGAGACACGGCCCAGACUCCUACGGGAGGCAGCAGUAGGGAAUCUUCCGCAAUGGACGAAAGUCUGACGGAGCAACGCCGCGUGAACGAAGAAGGCCUUCGGGUCGUAAAGUUCUGUUGUUAGGGAAGAACAAGUACCAGAGUAACUGCUGGUACCUUGACGGUACCUAACCAGAAAGCCACGGCUAACUACGUGCCAGCAGCCGCGGUAAUACGUAGGUGGCAAGCGUUGUCCGGAAUUAUUGGGCGUAAAGCGCGCGCAGGUGGUUCCUUAAGUCUGAUGUGAAAGCCCACGGCUCAACCGUGGAGGGU
rnacentral:rRNA from 2 species